GUACAUUCCAAGCGCUUAGUACAGAGCUCUGCACUAAGAUCAAGUGUAGUAUCUGUUCUUAUCAGUUUAAUAUCUGAUAUGUCCUCUAUCCGAGGACAAUUUUUAUGGAGAAGCAGC
rnacentral:snRNA from 1 species